rnacentral:rRNA from 1 species
GAAGCUUGCUUCUAUGACGUUAGCGGCGGACGGGUGAGUAACACGUGGGCAACCUGCCUGUAAGACUGGGAUAACUUCGGGAAACCGAAGCUAAUACCGGAUAGGAUCUUCUCCUUCAUGGGAGAUGAUUGAAAGAUGGUUUCGGCUAUCACUUACAGAUGGGCCCGCGGUGCAUUAGCUAGUUGGUGAGGUAACGGCUCACCAAGGCAACGAUGCAUAGCCGACCUGAGAGGGUGAUCGGCCACACUGGGACUGAGACACGGNCNAAACUCNUACGGGAGGCAGCAGUAGGGAAUCUUCCGCAAUGGACGAAAGUCUGACGGAGCAACGCCGCGUGAGUGAUGAAGGCUUUCGGGUCGUAAAACUCUGUUGUUAGGGAAGAACAAGUACAAGAGUAACUGCUUGUACCUUGACGGUACCUAACCAGAAAGCCACGGCUAACUACGUGCCAGCAGCCGCGGUAAUACGUAGGUGGCAAGCGUUAUCCGGAAUUAUUGGGCGUAAAGCGCGCGCAGGCGGUUUCUUAAGUCUGAUGUGAAAGCCCACGGCUCAACCGUGGAGGGUCAUUGGAAACUGGGAAACUUGAGUGCAGAAGAGAAAAGCGGAAUUCCACGUGUAGCGGUGAAAUGCGUAGAGAUGUGGAGGA